rnacentral:lncRNA from 1 species
AUGCAGACCAUUUUUGAGGAACAUGGAUUUGUGGAAAGGACUUUGGAAAAUCAUAUCAGGCAGUGCAAUGAAAUAGAAAAAGCAAGCACAGACUCACUGAAAGCAUCCCUUAAAACCACGUAUGGGAUUAAGAGGAGAAGUUGUUUAAUUGAUAUUCCUGCAUUUGACCUAAUUAAGCAAACUCCACAGGACAUCAUGCAUGUUGUUUUCGAAGGUGUCGCUCCUAUGGAGAUUAAGCUGGUAUUAAAACACCUUAUUCUGUCAGGGGAGUUGGAAUUAGAUCAUUUCAAUUCAGCCAUUAAGAAUUUUCCAUUUUCGCCUAUUGACAUACGAGACAAACCUUGUCCUAUUACUUUGAGCACUCUAGCAGCUAAUGACAACAGACUGAAACAGUCUUGUGGGCAAAUGUUAAUACUUUUAAAAAUCUUGCCCUUUCUUUUGGAUGGUGUGGACAAUGAAUAUACUCAAUUCAUUAUCAAGUUAAUUCAAAUUGUUCAGCUUGUUCUAGCCCCAACAAUUUCUUUAAAAACUGUAUUACGGCUUAAAGAAAUGAUUACACAACACCUGUAUCAGUUCAAGCAGCUUUUUCCUGAAAGCAACAUAAUACCCAAGCAGCAUUACUUGUUACACCUUCCUAGUCAAAUAGCAUCUCUUGGUCCAUUAAUAAGAACCAUGUGCAUGCGAUUUGAGGCUAAACACCACUAUUUUAAACAGUGGGCUUCAAAGCUGAAUUUUAGAAAUGUUUGUAAAUCCCUAGUCAAUCACAACCAGUUUCUUGAAUCUUGUCAAAAUGAAAUGGGUAUUGAACAUCCACUUUUUGCAAAUGAGAGAGUGUCCGGGCCAGUGUCCACUGUCACAAAUACUGAAUAUGUUAAGAACAAAGUUAGAGAUUUUUUAGGACUAGAAAUCCUGCAAUCUGUUGUGAAAGUAAAAUGGUAUGUUCUCAGUGGUAAUAAGUACAUUAGUGAGAAGUCUAUGAUCAUUAUAGAUCUGAUUGAUACCUUGCCAGUGUUUGGACUGAUAAAGAACAUCUUCUUGAUUGAUUCAUCUGUUAUUGCUUUUGAGUAUCAGCGCUAUGAAACCAUAAAAUGGGAUGAAAACCUGUUGGCAUAUGAGGUUGCAGUGCCUGCUCUGGCCCAGGCUACAGAAUUAGUGCAUGAGCUCAUAGAUCAUACUUCAUAUUUUUCAAUUAGUUUCAGAGAAAGUGUCUUUGUGCCAAUAAAAUAUAGCCUUUGUGACAUUAUUGGCCAGCAAAAUCAGCCUGAGGUUUAG